UACAGAGACUGCGAGCGUUAUUCGGAUUCACUGGGCGUAAAGGGUGCGCAGGCGGCCAAGUGUGUUAGGCGUGAAAGCCCGAGGCUUAACCUCGGAAUUGCACCUAAAACUAUAUGGCUAGAGUACUGGAGAGGGUAACGGAAUUCACGGUGUAGCAGUGAAAUGCGUAGAUAUCGUGAGGAACACCAGAGGCGAAGGCGGUUACCUGGACAGUUACUGACGCUCAGGCACGAAAGCGUGGGGAGCAAAAGGG
rnacentral:rRNA from 1 species